rnacentral:rRNA from 1 species
CUCGUAGGUGGCCAACUAAGUCAGACGUGAAAUCCCCAGGCUCAACCUGGGAACUGCGUCUGAUACUGGAUGGCUUGAAUUCGGGAGAGGGAUGCAGAAUUCCAGGUGUAGCGGUGAAAUGCGUAGAUAUCUGGAGGAAUACCGGUGGCGAAGGCGGCAUCCUGGACCGAGAUUGACACUGAUGAGCGAAAGCUAGGGGAGCAAACG